UGCAUUCACAACUGUAAGUCGCUCUGGAUAAGAGCGUCAGCAAAAUGACUUAAA
rfam:Salmo salar isolate Sally breed double haploid chromosome ssa19, whole genome shotgun sequence.